AGCAUAUCAAUAAGCGGAGGAAAAGAAACCAACAGGGAUUGCCCUAGUAACGGCGAGUGAAGCGGCAAUAGCUCAAAUUUGAAAGCUGGCCUUUGGUCCGCAUUGUAAUUUGUAGAGGAUGCUUUUAGGCAGCCGCCGGUCUAAGUUCCUUGGAACAGGACGUCAUAGAGGGUGAGAAUCCCGUAUGUGACCGGCUCAGGCACCUUCUGUAAAGCUCCUUCGACGAGUCGAGUUGUUUGGGAAUGCAGCUCUAAAUGGGAGGUAAAUUUCUUCUAAAGCUAAAUACUGGCGAGAGACCGAUAGCGCACAAGUAGAGUGAUCGAAAGAUGAAAAGUACUUUGGAAAGAGAGUUAAAAAGCACGUGAAAUUGUUGAAAGGGAAGCGCUUGCAAUCAGACUUGGCCUCGGUUGUUCAACCGGUCUUUUGACCGGCCUAUUCAAUCGGGGGCAGGCCAGCAUCAGUUUCGGCGGCCGGAUAAAGGCCUUGGGAAUGUGGCCUCUCCUUCGGGGGAGGUGUUAUAGCCCAGGGUGUAAUACGGUCAGCUGGGACUGAGGUCCGCGCUUCGGCUAGGAUGCUGGCGUAAUGGUUGUAAGCGGCCCGUCUUGAAACACGGACCAAGGAGUCUAACAUCUAUGCGAGUGUUAGGGUGUCAAACCCUUACGCGUAAUGAAAGUGAACGGAGGUGGGAACCCGCAAGGGUGCACCAUCGACCGAUCCUGAUGUCUUCGGAUGGAUUUGAGUAAGAGCAUAGCUGUUGGGACCCGAAAGAUGGUGAACUAUGCCUGAAUAGGGUGAAGCCAGAGGAAACUCUGGUGGAGGCUCGCAGCGGUUCUGACGUGCAAAUCGAUGCGUCAAAUUUGGGUAUAGGGGGCGAAAGACUAAUCGAACCAUCUAGUAGCUGGUUCCUGCCGAA
rnacentral:rRNA from 1 species